AUCGCUUCUCGGCCUCUUAACGGCUAAGAUCAACGUGUAGUAUCUGUUCUUAUCAGCUUAAUAUCUGAUACGGUCCGAUCAGGACCUAUGAUAUUAACCUUAUUUUUGUGAGGAGGCGCCAGGGCGGAGCUUGCUCCUCCGGCGCCAAGGGUCGUCCCGGCCUUGCACUACCGCCGGGUUCGGCCCACAACAA